rnacentral:rRNA from 1 species
GGGUUGUGAGGUUAAGCGACUAAGCGUACACGGUGGAUGCCUAGGCAGUCAGAGGCGAUGAAGGGCGUGCUAAUCUGCGAAAAGCGUCGGUAAGGUGAUAUGAACCGUUAUAACCGACGAUACCCGAAUGGGGAAACCCAGUGCAAUUCGUUGCACUAUUGCAUGGUGAAUACAUAGCCAUGCAAGGCGAACCAGGGGAACUGAAACAUCUAAGUACCCCGAGGAAAAGAAAUCAACCGAGAUUCCCCCAGUAGCGGCGAGCGAACGGGGAGGAGCCCAGAACCUGAAUCAGCGUAUGUGUUAGUGGAAGCGUCUGGAAAGUCGCACGGUACAGGGUGAUAGUCCCGUACACAAAAAUGCAUAUGUUGUGAGUUCGAUGAGUAGGGCGGGACACGUGACAUCCUGUCUGAAUAUGGGGGGACCAUCCUCCAAGGCUAAAUACUCCUGACUGACCGAUAGUGAACCAGUACCGUGAGGGAAAGGCGAAAAGAACCCCGGCGAGGGGAGUGAAACAGAACCUGAAACCGUGUACGUACAAGCAGUGGGAGCACCUUCGUGGUGUGACUGCGUACCUUUUGUAUAAUGGGUCAGCGACUUAUAUUUUGUAGCAAGGUUAACCGAAUAGGGGAGCCGUAGGGAAACCGAGUCUUAACUGGGCGAAUAGUUGCAAGGUAUAGACCCGAAACCCGGUGAUCUAGCCAUGGGCAGGUUGAAGGUUGGGUAACACUAACUGGAGGACCGAACCGACUAAUGUUGAAAAAUUAGCGGAUGACUUGUGGCUGGGGGUGAAAGGCCAAUCAAACCGGGAGAUAGCUGGUUCUCCCCGAAAGCUAUUUAGGUAGCGCCUCGUGAACUCAUCUUCGGGGGUAGAGCACUGUUUCGGCUAGGGGGUCAUCCCGACUUACCAAACCGAUGCAAACUCCGAAUACCGAAGAAUGUUAUCACGGGAGACACACGGCGGGUGCUAACGUCCGUCGUGAAGAGGGAAACAACCCAGACCGCCAGCUAAGGUCCCAAAGUCAUGGUUAAGUGGGAAACGAUGUGGGAAGGCACAGACAGCCAGGAUGUUGGCUUAGAAGCAGCCAUCAUUUAAAGAAAGCGUAAUAGCUCACUGGUCGAGUCGGCCUGCGCGGAAGAUGUAACGGGGCUAAACCAUGCACCGAAGCUGCGGCAGCGAACGUAUCACUUAAAACGCUUAACGUGACGGCAAAGCCGGCAUGUUCAAGCCACACUAAACGUUGAGUUGGCCGAUGUGCUGACAAACGAACAGGCGUUUUAAGGAUACGUUCGUUGGGUAGGGGAGCGUUCUGUAAGCCGUUGAAGGUGGUCUGUGAGGGCUGCUGGAGGUAUCAGAAGUGCGAAUGCUGACAUAAGUAACGAUAAUGCGGGUGAAAAACCCGCACGCCGGAAGACCAAGGGUUCCUGUCCAACGUUAAUCGGGGCAGGGUGAGUCGACCCCUAAGGCGAGGCUGAAAAGCGUAGUCGAUGGGAAACAGGUUAAUAUUCCUGUACUUGGUGUUACUGCGAAGGGGGGACGGAGAAGGCUAGGCUAGCCGGGCGACGGUUGUCCCGGUUUAAGCAUGUAGGCGGAGUGACCAGGUAAAUCCGGUUGCUUAUCAACGCUGAGGUGUGAUGACGAGUCACUACGGUGAUGAAGUAGUUGAUGCCAUGCUUCCAGGAAAAGCCUCUAAGCAUCAGGUAACAUGAAAUCGUACCCCAAACCGACACAGGUGGUCAGGUAGAGAAUACUCAGGCGCUUGAGAGAACUCGGGUGAAGGAACUAGGCAAAAUGGUGCCGUAACUUCGGGAGAAGGCACGCUGGCAUUAGGUAAAGGGACUUGCUCCCGGCGCCGAAGCCAGUCGCAGAUACCAGCUGGCUGCAACUGUUUAAUAAAAACACAGCACUGUGCAAACACGAAAGUGGACGUAUACGGUGUGACGCCUGCCCGGUGCUGGAAGGUUAAUUGAUGGGGUCAGCCGCAAGGCGAAGCUCUUGAUCGAAGCCCCAGUAAACGGCGGCCGUAACUAUAACGGUCCUAAGGUAGCGAAAUUCCUUGUCGGGUAAGUUCCGACCUGCACGAAUGGCGUAAUGAUGGCCAGGCUGUCUCCACCCGAGACUCAGUGAAAUUGAACUCGCUGUGAAGAUGCAGUGUACCCGCGGCAAGACGGAAAGACCCCGUGAACCUUUACUAUAGCUUGACACUGAACAUUGAGCCUUGAUGUGUAGGAUAGGUGGGAGGCAUAGAAGUGUGGACGCCAGUCUGCAUGGAGCCAACCUUGAAAUACCACCCUUUAAUGUUUGAUGUUCUAACUCGGCCCCGUAAUCCGGGGUGAGGACAGUGUCUGGUGGGUAGUUUGACUGGGGCGGUCUCCUCCCAAAGAGUAACGGAGGAGCACGAAGGUUAGCUAAUCACGGUCGGACAUCGUGAGGUUAGUGCAAAGGCAUAAGCUAGCUUGACUGCGAGAGUGACGGCUCGAGCAGGUACGAAAGUAGGUCUUAGUGAUCCGGUGGUUCUGAAUGGAAGGGCCAUCGCUCAACGGAUAAAAGGUACUCCGGGGAUAACAGGCUGAUACCGCCCAAGAGUUCAUAUCGACGGCGGUGUUUGGCACCUCGAUGUCGGCUCAUCACAUCCUGGGGCUGAAGUAGGUCCCAAGGGUAUGGCUGUUCGCCAUUUAAAGUGGUACGCGAGCUGGGUUUAGAACGUCGUGAGACAGUUCGGUCCCUAUCUGCCGUGGGCGUUGGAAGAUUGAGAGGGGCUGCUCCUAGUACGAGAGGACCGGAGUGGACGAAUCACUGGUGUUCGGGUUGUCAUGCCAAUGGCAUUGCCCGGUAGCUAAAUUCGGAAGAGAUAACCGCUGAAAGCAUCUAAGCGGGAAACUUGCCUCGAGAUGAGUCUUCCCUGGGGCUUUAAGCCCCCUGAAGGAACGUUAAAGACGAUGACGUUGAUAGGCUGGGUGUGUAAGUGCAGCGAUGCAUUGAGCUAACCAGUACUAAUGAACCGUGAGGCUUAACCUUACAACACCAAAGGUGUUUUG